rnacentral:rRNA from 1 species
UACAGAGGGUGCAAGCGUUAAUCGGAAUUACUGGGCGUAAAGCGUGCGUAGGCGGUUAUGUAAGUUAGGUGUGAAAGCCCCGGGCUCAACCUGGGAAUUGCAUUUAAGACUGCAUAGCUAGGGUGCGGAAGAGGGAAGCGGAAUUUCCGGUGUAGCGGUGAAAUGCGUAGAUAUCGGAAGGAACACCAGUGGCGAAAGCGGCUUCCUGGUCCAGCACCGACGUUCAGGCACGAAAGCGUGGGGAGCAAACAGG